rnacentral:rRNA from 1 species
CACUCUAAGAUACUAUUUAAAGUAACUCCUGCUCAAUGAAUAUUAAAUAGCCGCAGUUUUACUGUGCUAAGGUAGCAUAAUAAAUAGUCUAUUAAUUAUAGAAUAGAAUGAAAGGAUAAACAAAUUUUUAACUAUAUUUAACCCCACUAUAAAAAUUAAAUUAAAAGUAAAAAUUCCUCUUUAAAAUAGAAAGACGAUAAGACCCUAAAGAACUUAACUUAAGUUAAACUGGGGUGGUUACAUAACUAAUUCUUAAUAAUUAAAUCUUAAAACAUCUAUAUUAUAUAUCUAUUCAAGUUACCUUAGGGAUAACAGCACAAUUUAUAUUAAAAGCACUUAUUAAAAUAUAAGAUUAUGACCUCGAUGUUGAAUUAAUUAUCUAUUACAACGCAAAAGAUUAACCAGAAAGUCUGUUCGACUUUUAAAUUUUUACAU